rnacentral:rRNA from 1 species
AUUGAACGCUGGCGGCAGGCCUAACACAUGCAAGUCGAACGAGUGGCGGACGGGUGAGUAAUGUCUGGGAAACUGCCUGCUGGAGGGGGAUAACUACUGGAAACGGUAGCUAAUACCGCAUACCAUCGGAUGUGCCCAGAUGGGGUUAGCUAGUAGGUGGGGUAAAGGUUCACCUAGGCGACGAUCCCUAGCUGGUCUGAGAGGAUGACGAGCCACACUGGAAAGGAGACACGGUCGAGUCUCUUACGGGAUGCAGCAUUGGGGAAUAUUGCACAAUGGGGUGAAGACUGAUGCAGCCAUGCCGCGUGUAUGAAGAAGGCCUGCGGGUUGUAAAGUACUUUCAGCGGGGAGGCGUUACCCGCAGAAGAAGCACCGGCUAACUCCGUGCCAGCAGCCGCGGUAAUUC